GGCUGAGUCUUGCCGAGUGUCGGGCAGGCUGCCCGCGUUGCGCCCGUGUGUCUGUGCACCCCGUAGUGCUGCCUAGUCGGGCCCGGCCUGAGGUCGGCGUUCUGUCAGAGAUGUGUAGCACAACCUUCAUGUCCAGCCUGGGCUGCUGUGGAGUCCGGCCUGUUUGUGUGUGGUGCUUCUUGUUACCCAGCUAACAAAAAACACUGCCUUGCAGUUUCAUCCCAUGGACACGGGAAGAGGACAUGUGUACUGUGGUGGAUCCUGGGCUGCCAGGGUGCUGAUGCCCUGGAUGUACUGCUGCUGAGGGGCUGCCUGGCAGGCCAGGCACAACAGGUGUGCGUCUACAAAACCCAUUCACACAAAUUCACCAAGAAGAGGGGGUUGUGUCAGGAUCAAUAAAUAGUUAAACAGCCCUUCUUCUGUCCCCUGCAGCAUGAGGUGGACUCUCUCUUCAUACCAUCCCUGUAGAAUAUUCCUAUAUAGAGCUGAAGGUGUGCUCCCCGAGCCGUCAGCUUGCCAGAGCUCGACUGGAUUUAAACAGGGAAAUGCAGAGGCUGAGAAAUGAAAAUGAACUGUCAGCAGCUUUUGAAUCCAAAGUGCUGAACAUUGCUGUGAGCCCAGAAUAAUAAGCUGCAUUUCAAGACACAGACCCCGUGGAUGAAUUAUAUGUUCCAGAGCUGGUUCUGAGAACAACACUGGGGAUAAGCUGCAUGAGAUGCUUGAUCCAAUUUGGUAGCAGAACACAUGGCAUUGUUUGGAAGUUACAGAAAUAUUUUAGCGAGGGUGGAGGGGAAGUAAUGUUUAUAUCAGAGUUUGCAGUUUCACCUGGGGAGAAGAGUUUGCUUUACAGAAUAAAUGGCUAAGAAGUAUGUAUGUAUAGGAAGGGGGUUUUGUCUCCUUCUCCAGUUAUUCCUCACUCAUUUAGGUUUGUACAAUUGUUAGUUCUCUAAGUGCCUGUGGAUUCCCCUGGGGUGCGUGUCACUCCAGGUGUUCAUUCAUUUGAAUGUUCUUUCCUGAAAAUUAAAUUUUUUAACUGUGCCUUGUAUUUAUUGCUUUGUAAUUUGCCUUU